ACGGGUGAGUAAUACAUCGGAACGUGCCCAGUAGUGGGGGAUAGCCCGGCGAAAGCCGGAUUAAUACCGCAUACGACCUACGGGUGAAAGCGGGGGAUCGCAAGACCUCGCGCUAUUGGAGCGGCCGAUGUCAGAUUAGCUAGUUGGUGGGGUAAAAGCCUACCAAGGCGACGAUCUGUAGCUGGUCUGAGAGGACGACCAGCCACACUGGGACUGAGACACGGCCCAGACUCCUACGGGAGGCAGCAGUGGGGAAUUUUGGACAAUGGGCGCAAGCCUGAUCCAGCCAUGCCGCGUGUGGGAAGAAGGCCUUCGGGUUGUAAACCACUUUUGUCAGGGAAGAAACGGCUUGAUCUAAUAAAUCGAGCUAAUGACGGUACCUGAAGAAUAAGCACCGGCUAACUACGUGCCAGCAGCCGCGGUAAUACGUAGGGUGCAAGCGUUAAUCGGAAUUACUGGGCGUAAAGCGUGCGCAGGCGGCUAUGCAAGACAGAUGUGAAAUCCCCGGGCUCAACCUGGGAACUGCAUUUGUGACUGCAUGGCUAGAGUACGGUAGAGGGGGAUGGAAUUCCGCGUGUAGCA
rnacentral:rRNA from 1 species